UUCAAAAUUGGAAAUUUUAAUACCCUGUCCUCCAUAUCUAUACCAUGCGUUUCUUCCUCCUAUUCGGGUAUCUCGCUGGAUUAGCAGCUUUUUGAUUCACCUGGUAGAAAGUAGAAACGUUAUCAAUGGAAGAGCUAUUAUGCUAUCUUUGAUUUUUGUUUCUCUAAAAACCCUAUCCACCGCUAAUCAUCUUUAUGAGGGAACAAGAAUCGUCAUACCUUCUUCUUCUAUGCAGAAAUUAGCAAAGGUUUUAUACGGUUCCUAGCUACACUGAAGGCAACUCAUUCUCCACGAUCUGCUAUCUCCCCUCUACGAUCAUGGUAAUGUUGUGUGGCAUGUGUUUGAUUCCUUUCAUUCUUCCAUCUACGACUAUGAAUCCUGGUAUCGAUGGCGAUUUCUCUUUAUCUCUCUACAAAAAUAAUCCCCACUCUUAUAGGCUGAACAAUACAUGUAUAGAAUACACGAGAUGAUUAAGGACAUACCUGAUGAUUGGGUUGCAAAAAUUAAAAAAUCCAAUGUGUUAUUUGAAAUGUUUAAUCAUUUUUUCAAAUUGCUAUGAAAAGUUACUGUUUUGGUUAUUUGUUCAGGUAUAAUUGAUAAUGGUUUGUUGUCUUUUCA